rnacentral:rRNA from 1 species
UGGGGAAUAUUGCGCAAUGGGGGAAACCCUGACGCAGCGACGCCGUGUGAGUGAUGAAGGUUUUCGGAUCGUAAAGCUCUGUCGGGUGGAAAGAAUAAAGGCUGUGUAAAUAAUGCAGUCUGAUGACGGUACCACCAAAGGAAGCACCGGCUAACUCCGUGCCAGCAGCCGCGGUAAUACGGAGGGUGCAAGCGUUGUUCGGAAUUAUUGGGCGUAAAGGGCGUGUAGGCGGGUAUGUAGGUCAGGUGUGAAAUCCCUCGGCUCAACCGAGGAAGUGCAUCUGAAACCGCGUAUCUUGAGUACGAGAGAGGCAGAUGGAAUUCCCAGUGUAGAGGUGAAAUUCAUAGAUAUUGGGAAGAACACCGGUGGCGAAAGCGGUCUGCUGGCUCGAUACUGACGCUGAGACGCGAAAGCGUGGGGAGCAAACAGG